UCUCUCAUUUUGUACAAUUCCUCCGGGAAGGAGCCUCCGCUCUCUCCCAUCUCCAUGCCGCUGCAUCACAGAUAUCUCCGCCUCUUCAAUCCCCUUCUCAGAUAGUACUGCCCACAGGAAUCAUGAACCAGAAAAUGAAUGUUUCAGAGAAAUUCUUCGUUUAUGUACACCGCCGACUGAAAUACUGAAGAGAUCCCCUUCAGCUCCUCCGAUCCUUCCAUCAUCAGAUCUCUCGCAUGGCGGCGCCGGAGCCCCCUGCAAAACCCUGCAAGAACACGCCCCAGGAAGACGAUGACGACGACGUAGACGAAGCUACGUGGCACGAAGUCUUAAGAACAUUUUCUCAAUGGUGGGCCACCGGGAGGGGU
rnacentral:lncRNA from 1 species